rnacentral:rRNA from 1 species
UACGUAGGGUGCGAGCGUUGUCCGGAAUUACUGGGCGUAAAGAGCUCGUAGGUGGUUUGUCACGUCGUCUGUGAAAUUCCGGGGCUUAACCUCGGGCGUGCAGGCGAUACGGGCAAUACUUGAGUGCUGUAGGGGAGACUGGAAUUCCUGGUGUAGCGGUGAAAUGCGCAGAUAUCAGGAGGAACACCGAUGGCGAAGGCAGGUCUCUGGGCCACUACUGACGCUGAGAAGCGAAAGCAUGGGGAGCGAACAGGAUUAGA